rnacentral:rRNA from 1 species
AGAACGAACGCUGGCGGCAUGCCUAACACAUGCAAGUCGAACGAGACCUUCGGGUCUAGUGGCGCACGGGUGCGUAACGCGUGGGAAUCUGCCCUUGGGUUCGGGAUAACAGUUGGAAACGACUGCUAAUACCGGAUGAUGACUUCGGUCCAAAGAUUUAUCGCCCAGGGAUGAGCCCGCGUAGGAUUAGCUAGUUGGUGAGGUAAAAGCUCACCAAGGCGACGAUCCUUAGCUGGUCUGAGAGGAUGAUCAGCCACACUGGGACUGAGACACGGCCCAGACUCCUACGGGAGGCAGCAGUGGGGAAUAUUGGACAAUGGGACGAAAGCCUGAUCCAGCAAUGCCGCGUGAGUGAUGAAGGCUUAGGUGUAAAGCUCUUUACCGGGAUGAUAAUGACAGUACCGGAGAAAUAACGCCCCGACUAACCUCCGUA